AUUGAACGCUGGCGGCAGGCCUAACACAUGCAAGUCGAACGAGUGGCGGACGGGUGAGUAAUGUUUGGGAAACUGCCCGAUGGAGGGGGAUGACUACUGGAAACGGUAGCUAAUACCGCAUACUAUCGGUUGUGCCCAGAUGGGAUUAGCUAGUGGGUGGGGUAACGGCUCACCUAGGCUACGAUCCCUAGCUGGUCUGAGAGGAUGACCGGCAACACUGGAACUGGGACCGGGUCCAGACUCCUACGGGGGGCAGCAGUGGGGAAUAUUGGAAAAUGGGCGCAAGCCUGACGCAGCCAGGCCGCGUGUAUGAAGAAGGCCUUCGGGUUUUAAAGUCCUUUCAGCGGGGAGGCGGUACUCGAAGAAGAAGCACCGGCUAACUCCGUGCCAGCAGCCGCGGUAAUAC
rnacentral:rRNA from 1 species